rnacentral:lncRNA from 1 species
UGAGAUUUCAAAGGACUACUGCCAUUCUUACACUGACUGUAUAGUUUUAAAUCUCUUUUCUUAUCUUCUUCAGGUUGGAUAUUAGGAAAAGCUUAUUCUCCAAAAGAGUGGUAAUGCAUUGGCACAGGCUGCCCAGGGAGGUGGUGGCCAUCCCUGGAGCUGUUGAAGAACUGUGGAGAUGUGGCAAGGAAUGAGCAGUAUUCCUGGACACAAAAAGGGAGAAUAAUCAACUUUCAGGCUGUAUGUUACAAAUUCACUUUUGUGAUUUUAGUGGUGCCUGUGACAAGAAAUGAAAUGCGGGAAAGGGAGCUGGCUCCAGAAGGAGUGCCUGGCUAUUUUUCCAGUCAAUAUCUAGUGUGCUGCACAGCAUCCAGGAGAAUUUGCAGGUGAGAAUCCAUAUAUCCUGAAAUAAAACAGGAUUUUUUUUUUUUUACCA